UACGGGGGGGGCAAGCGUUGUUCGGAAUUACUGGGCGUAAAGGGCUCGUAGGUGGCCAACUAAGUCAGACGUGAAAUCCCUCAGCUUAACUGGGGAACUGCGUCUGAUACUGGAUGGCUUGAGUUUGGGAGAGGGAUGCGGAAUUCCAGGUGUAGCGGUGAAAUGCGCAGAUAUCGGGAGGAACACCAAUGGCGAAGGCAGCUCGCUGGGACGUUACUGACGCUGAGACGCGAAAGCGUGGGGAGCAAACAGG
rnacentral:rRNA from 1 species